AUCUAUUUGAUGAGUCCUAAAUAGGACGAAACAUGCGUUCUGGAU
rnacentral:hammerhead_ribozyme from 1 species